rnacentral:rRNA from 1 species
AUUGAACGCUGGCGGCAUGCCUUACACAUGCAAGUCGAACGGCAGCACGGGAGCAAUCCUGGUGGCGAGUGGCGAACGGGUGAGUAAUAUAUCGGAACGUGCCCAAUCGUGGGGGAUAACGUAGCGAAAGCUACGCUAAUACCGCAUACGAUCUAUGGAUGAAAGCGGGGGAUCGCAAGACCUCGCGCGAUUGGAGCGGCCGAUAUCAGAUUAGGUAGUUGGUGGGGUAAAAGCCUACCAAGCCUUCGAUCUGUAGCUGGUCUGAGAGGACGACCAGCCACACUGGAACUGAGACACGGUCCAGACUCCUACGGGAGGCAGCAGUGGGGAAUUUUGGACAAUGGGCGCAAGCCUGAUCCAGCAAUGCCGCGUGCAGGAUGAAGGCCUUCGGGUUGUAAACUGCUUUUGUUACGGAACGAAACGGUU